rnacentral:rRNA from 1 species
AGUGAACGCUGGCGGCAGGCCUAACACAUGCAAGUCGAGCGGCAGCGGGUCCUUCGGGAUGCCGGCGAGCGGCGGACGGGUGAGGAAUGCGUCGGAAUCUGCCUUUGUGUGGGGGAUAACGUAGGGAAACUUACGCUAAUACCGCAUACGACCUACGGGUGAAAGUGGGGGACCGCAAGGCCUCACGCAGAAAGAUGAGCCGACGCCGGAUUAGCUAGUUGGCGGGGUAAAGGCCCACCAAGGCGACGAUCCGUAGCUGGUCUGAGAGGAUGAUCAGCCACACUGGAACUGAGACACGGUCCAGACUCCUACGGGAGGCAGCAGUGGGGAAUAUUGGACAAUGGGCGCAAGCCUGAUCCAGCCAUGCCGCGUGUGUGAAGAAGGCCUUCGGGUUGUAAAGCACUUUUGUCCGGAAAGAAAUCCAAUCGAUUAAUACUCGGUUGGGAUGACGGUACCGGAAGAAUAAGCACCGGCUAACUACGUGCCAGCCGCCGCCGUAACAC